CUCCUCCAUUGAGGCAUCAAACCUGCCCUGAAUUACAAAGCCAAGCAAAACAAAGGGACAGCUUUGGCUGCAACACUGAGAAGAUAGAAGACAUAUACAUCCUCAUCACAUCUCUCCUGUGCAAAGGAGCAAGACAACAGCAGCUGAGGCAGUGAGCACAAUGAAGUCCCCAGCUUCAGCACCAGUGCUCAUCCUCCAAAAGGUGCAGGAAGAAAUGCAUGGGAUGACAAGGCAGCCCAGGUCCUUUCCCCCUCUGAAAAUCUCAGAGGGGGAGAAUAAAAAGAAAAGGGACAAGAAUAUGAGCAUGCAGAAGCUUACUUCUGCUUAAAUACGGAAAGGAAAAAAAAAUAUAUAUUUUUUUAUUAUUUUAUUAUUAUUAUUAAAAAAAAAAAAGUCUUUCCUGUUUAUUAUCUCUUGAGAUAUGUUAUUUUCAAAUGCAUUCAGCUCAGGUGGAAAAUUCAGGUAGUGUUGCUACACAAUAGUUUAAAUGGUGGCUAAACUUAUAUGUCCAUACGUUUCUAUGCUAAUUAUGUUUAAGCAAGUUUUUUUCUGAUGUACUUCUGCCACCCAGUGGAUUACUCAUAUGAAAACUCCCAUUAGGGUUUAUUUCAAAAGAUUUCCUAGAAAACCUAUUUCUUUGUGUGCUUUUGAGCAGGUAGCUAACGUGAGGUCUUCAGUGAGCAGCCACUAUGUGCAAGCUUCCUAGUGUGAGCAGCAGACUGAAGGGCUGAUUGACAGAGCAGGGAAAACAGAUUGUAUUGUUAAGUACUCUCAACAUAAAUUUCAGAGUUUUGUUUCUUUUUUCUUUCUCCCCACCAUAGUUCCCUUGUUCCUCAGCUUCACAUCUAAGAAGGAGACAUGAAAGUAUUUCUUUGCUAUGCAAUGCACCAUCAAAACAAACUGUCUCAUCUUUGUGAAACAUAAAAGCUACUCCAGCAACACCUGUCUGACAAAGGCCCUUCAGAAAGUAAAUGUGUUUGUUGUUUAUUUUUCUUCUAGUAGCAGAUGAAAUAUCAUGAAUUAAGAAAACCUAUACCCACCAACUAAAGUCAGCAGAAGAUUGAAAAGGUGUUCCUAAGAGAGCAUCAUCUAUUCUGUGCUCUGAGCAAGUAACUGAAGCAAA